rnacentral:tRNA from 1 species
GCCCUGGUGGUGCAGUGGUUAAGCACUCAGCUGCUAACCAUAAGGUCGGUGGUUUGAACCCACCCAGGGGCU